rnacentral:rRNA from 1 species
AUUGAACGCUGGCGGCAGGCUUAACACAUGCAAGUCGAACGAGUGGCGGACGGGUGAGUAAUGCUUGGGAAUCUAGCUUAUGGAGGGGGAUAACUACGGGAAACUGUAGCUAAUACCGCGUACCAUAGGAUGAGCCCAAGUGGGAUUAGGUAGUUGGUGAGGUAAAGGCUCACCAAGCCGGCGAUCUCUAGCUGGUCUGAGAGGAAGACCCGCCCACCGUGGACUGAGACACGGCCCAGACUCCCACGGGAGGGAGGAGUGGGGAAUUUUGGCGCAUGGGGGCAACCUGACGCAGCCAUGCCGCGUGAAUGAAGAAGGCCUUCGGGUUGUAAAGUUCUUUCGGUAGCGAGGCGUUAACUACAGAAGAAGCACCGGCUAACUCCGUGCCAGCAGCCGCGGUAAUUC